GACGAACGCUGGCGGCGUGCUUAACACAUGCAAGUCGAACGGAAAGGCCCUGCUUUUGUGGUGUGCUCGAGUGGCGAACGGGUGAGUAACACGUGAGUAACCUGCCCUUGACUGUGGGAUACCUUCAGGACACUGGGUCUAAUCCCGGAUAGGAGCUCCUGCUGCAUGGUGGGGGUUGGAAAGUUUCGGCGGUUGGGGAUGGACUCGCGGCUUAUCAGCUUGUUGGUGGGGUAGUGGCUUACCAAGGCUUUGAUGGGUAGCCGGCCUGGGAGGGUGACCGGCCACAUGGGGACUGAGAUACGGCCCAGACUCCUACGGGAGGCAGCAGUGGGGAAUAUUGCACAAUGGGCGGAAGCCUGAUGCAGCAACGCCGCGUGCGGGAUGACGGCCUUCGGGUUGUAAACCGCUUUCGCCUGUGACGAAGCGUGAGUGACGGUAAUGGGUAAAGAAGCACCGGCUAACUACGUG
rnacentral:rRNA from 1 species